AGUGAACGCUGGCGGUAGGCCUAACACAUGCAAGUCGAACGGCAGCACAGUAAGAGCUUGCUCUUACGGGUGGCGAGUGGCGGACGGGUGAGGAAUACAUCGGAAUCUACUUUUUCGUGGGGGAUAACGUAGGGAAACUUACGCUAAUACCGCAUACGACCUACGGGUGAAAGCAGGGGAUCUUCGGACCUUGCGCGAUUGAAUGAGCCGAUGUCGGAUUAGCUAGUUGGCGGGGUAAAGGCCCACCAAGGCGACGAUCCGUAGCUGGUCUGAGAGGAUGAUCAGCCACACUGGAACUGAGACACGGUCCAGACUCCUACGGGAGGCAGCAGUGGGGAAUAUUGGACAAUGGGCGCAAGCCUGAUCCAGCCAUACCGCGUGGGUGAAGAAGGCCUUCGGGUUGUAAAGCCCUCUUGUUGGGAAAGAAAAGCAGCAGGUUAAUACCCCGCUGUUCUGACGGUACCCAAAGAAUAAGCACCGGCUAACUUCGCG
rnacentral:rRNA from 1 species